rnacentral:rRNA from 1 species
GUGGGGAAUAUUGGGCAAUGGGCGAAAGCCUGACCCAGCAACGCCGCGUGAAGGAAGAAGGUUUUCGGAUCGUAAACUUCUAUCCUUGGUGAAGAUAAUGACGGUAGCCAAGAAGGAAGCCCCGGCUAACUACGUGCCAGCAGCCGCGGUAAUACGUAGGGGGCAAGCGUUGUCCGGAAUGAUUGGGCGUAAAGGGCGCGUAGGCGGCCCGGUAAGUCUGAAGUGAAAGUCCUGCUUUUAAGGUGGGAAUUGCUUUGGAUACUGUCGGGCUUGAGUGCAGGAGAGGUAAGCGGAAUUCCCGGUGUAGCGGUGAAAUGCGUAGAGAUCGGGAGGAACACCAGUGGCGAAGGCGGCUUACUGGACUAUAACUGACGCUGAGGCGCGAAAGUGUGGGGAGCAAACAGGAUUAGAUACCCUAGUAGUCC